rnacentral:rRNA from 1 species
UGGGGAAUUUUGCGCAAUGGGCGAAAGCCUGACGCAGCGACGCCGCGUGGGUGAUGAAGGCCUUCGGGUUGUAAAGCCCUGUGGGGAGGGAAGAAUAAGGGUGUUCGAAUAGGGCAUCUGAUGACGGUACCUCCUUAGCAAGCACCGGCUAACUCUGUGCCAGCAGCCGCGGUAAGACAGAGGGUGCAAACGUUGUUCGGAAUUACUGGGCGUAAAGCGCGUGUAGGCGGCCUAGCAAGUCGGGUGUGAAAGCCCUUGGCUCAACUGAGGAAGAGCAUUCGAAACUGCGAGGCUUGAGUUCCGGAGAGGAUGGUGGAAUUCUCGGUGUAGAGGUGAAAUUCGUAGAUAUCGAGAGGAACACCGGUGGCGAAGGCGGCCAUCUGGACGGAAACUGACGCUGAGACGCGAAAGCAUGGGGAGCAAACAGG